rnacentral:rRNA from 1 species
CACGUAGGGUGCGAGCGUUGUCCGGAAUUAUUGGGCGUAAAGAGCUCGUAGGCGGUGUGUCGCGUCGGCCGUGAAAACCUGCAGCUUAACUGUGGGCUUGCGGUCGAUACGGGCAUCACUGGAGUUCGGCAGGGGAGACUGGAAUUCCUGGUGUAGCGGUGAAAUGCGCAGAGAUCGGGAGGAACACCAGUGGCGAAGGCGGCUCGCUGGGCCGGACCUGACGCUGAG